ACGGAAGGCAGCAGUGAGGAAUAUUGGACAAUGGAGGCAACUCUGAUCCAGCCAAACCGCGUGAAGGAAGACGGUCCUAUGGAUUGUAAACUUCUUUUGUAAGGGGAUAAACCUAGAUAUGUAUAUCUAGCUGAAGGUACCUUACGAAUAAGCAUCGGCUAACUCCGUGCCAGCAGCCGCGGUAAUACGGAGGAUGCAGGCGUUAUCCGGAUUUAUUAGGUUUAAAGGGUGCGCAGGCGGGACACUAAGUCGGCGGUGAAAUCUCAUGGCCCAACCAUGAAACUGCCAUCGAUACUGGUGACCUUGAGUACGAAUGAGGAAGGCGGAAUGAGUCGUGUAGCGGUGAAAUGCUUAGAUAUGACUCAGAACACCAAUUGCGAAGGCAGCUUUCCAAAACGCAACUGACGCUCAUGCACGAAAGCGUGGGUAGCGAACAGGAUUAGAUACCCUGGUA
rnacentral:rRNA from 1 species